UUUUGCUCAAUUCAAAAUAGUUAUUAGUUAGAUGAUUCUUUUUACUUUUCUCAUUUCAGGUAGGUUUAUUAGCAUCUCCAGGGACAGUUGAAAGCAUUGCUGAUCAUCUUCGUUGGAUUAUUAGCCGCUUUGCAGGUAGGUUUAUUAGCAUCUCCAGGGACAGUUGAAAGCCUCGUUGAUCAUUUUCGUUGGAUUUUUGGCCGCUUUGCAGGUGAGUGUAUAUUGUGAACUUUUGCUCAAUUCAAAAUAGUUAUUAAUUAGAUGAUUCUUUUUACUUUUCUCGUUUCAGGUAGGUUUAUUAGCGUCUCCAGGGACAUUUGAAAGCCUCGUUGAUCAUUUUCGUUGGAUUUUUGGCCGCUUAGCAGGUAGGUUUAUUAGCAUCUCCAGGGACAGUUGAAAGCCUCGUUGAUCAUUUUCGUUGGAUUUUUGGCCGCUUUGCAGGUAGGUUUAUUAGCGCAUCCA
rnacentral:sRNA from 1 species